ensembl:lncRNA
CACCUCUCCAGGGUAGUUAAAUGUGUGAUGUCAGCUCUCCAGGGUAGUUAAAUGUGUGAUGUCACCUCUCCAGGGUAGUUAAAUGUGUGAUGUCACCUCUCCAGGGUAGUUAAAUGUGUGAUGUCAUCUGUCCAGGGUAGUUAAAUGUGUGAUGUCACCUCUCCAGGGUAGUUAAAUGUGUGAUGUCAUCUCUCCAGGGUAGUUACAUGUGUGAUGUCAUCUCUCCAGGGUAGUUUAAUGUGUGAUGUCACCUCUCCAGGGUAGUUACAUGUGUGAUGUCAUCUCUCCAGGGUAGUUAAAUGUGUGAUGUCACCUCUCCAGGGUAGUUAAAUGUGUGAUGUCAGCUCUCCAGGGUAGUUACAUGUGUCUAACUCAGGUGAUGUUUAUACUGUAUCUAACUCAGGUGAUGUUUAUACUGUAUCUAACAGGUGAUGGUUAUACUGUGUCUAACAGGUGAUGGUUAUACUGUAUCUAACUCAGGUGAUGGUUAUACUGUAUCUAACUCAGGUGAUGUUUAUACUGUAUCUAACUCAGGUGAUGUAUAUACUGUAUCUAACUCAGGUGAUGUUUAUACUGUAUCUAACAGGUGAUGGUUAUACUGCGAAAACACAAUAAGGCAUAAAGAGAGGGAGACGAGGAGCCACUGAGCUGAAUGACCUGAUAGCCAAUAGCAGCCCUGUAACGGCAAGGAGCCACUGAGCUGAACGACCUGAUAGCCAAUAGCAG